rnacentral:rRNA from 1 species
UACGUAGGGGGCAAGCGUUGUCCGGAUUUAUUGGGCGUAAAGAGCGUGUAGGCGGUCUGGUAGGUCCGUUGUGAAAGCCCGGGGCUCAACUCCGGAAUUGCCUUUAAGACUGCAUCGCUAGAAUUGUGGAGAGGUAAGUGGAAUUCCGAGUGUAGAGGUGAAAUUCGUAGAUAUUCGGAAGAACACCAGUGGCGAAGGCGACUUACUGGACACAUAUUGACGCUGAGGUGCGAAAGCGUGGGGAGCAAACAGG